ACUUUCACUUAUCAGACCUUGCUGCGAUAAGCAAACCCCAAUUACAAACCACUCAGACCGCAUAGGGGAAGGUUGUGGGAAGCAUAAACAAACUUUACCUACACCCUCCUGUAAUAAACGUCACAAGGUGAUAUGUGGCAAAAUUAACCAGCAAACAACCCCAGGAUGCGGCCAUACCAAAGAACUCCCUCAAGCUACUUUCCCCAAUAUAAACCCCUCAUUCUGUAAGCUUGGUGCUGCUUCCCUUGACUGUUAAGGGGUCAGCCGGCAGGUUAAUAAAAACUUGCUCGCCUGACUUUGGGUCUAUUUUUCCUUUCUCUUGGCUGACCUUACAUUCUGGUGCCGAAACCGGGAAGGGGAUAGACUCUGGCCGGCUCUCGCUCUCUGUCUCUCUCUCUCUCACUCUCUCUUUCUCUCUCUCUCUCCCCCUCCCUCCCCUAUCACCUAUCUCCUGGCCAGUCUCUCCCCUUCCCUGAACCUGCCGAAGUCCCAGAGAAUCUCCUAGACUCUCCCACUGCUGACGACUUCAUCCACCAUCAAAGCCUCCGCCAGGCUCCUCGGCCUAGCCACUGAAGACUGACAAGGCCCAGGGCCCCUGGCCCCCACUGCCAUCACUGCAUGGAGCCCAGUGUAACUCUACUGGUAGCAGAAGGAGUCUUGCUCUGUCGCCCAGGCUGGAGUGCGG
rnacentral:lncRNA from 1 species